GAUGAACGCUGGCUACAGGCUUAACACAUGCAAGUCGAGGGGAAACGACGGGGAAGCUUGCUUCCCCGGGCGUCGACCGGCGCACGGGUGAGUAACGCGUAUCCAACCUGCCUCUGACUGAGGGAUAACCCGUCGAAAGUCGGCCUAAUACCUCAUGGCAUCGUCUGCGGGCAUCCAACGACGAUUAAAGAUUUCAUCGGUCAGGGAUGGGGAUGCGUCUGAUUAGCUAGUUGGCGGGGUAACGGCCCACCAAGGCUACGAUCAGUAGGGGUUCUGAGAGGAAGGUCCCCCACAUUGGAACUGAGACACGGUCCAAACUCCUACGGGAGGCAGCAGUGAGGAAUAUUGGUCAAUGGGCGAGAGCCUGAACCAGCCAAGUAGCGUGCAGGAUGACGGCCCUAUGGGUUGUAAACUGCUUUUAUGCGGGGAUAAAGUGAAGGACGUGUCCUUCAUUGCAGGUACCGCAUGAAUAAGGACCGGCUAAUUCCGUGCCAGCAGCCGCGGUAAUACGGAAGGUCCGGGCGUUAUCCGGAUUUAUUGGGUUUAAAGGGAGCGUAGGCCGUGGAUUAAGCGUGUUGUGAAAUGCAGGUGCUCAACGUCUGCACUGCAGCGCGAACUGGUCCACUUGAGUGUGCACAACGCAGGCGGAAUUCGUCGUGUAGCGGUGAAAUGCUUAGAUAUGACGAAGAACUCCGAUUGCGAAGGCAGCUUGCGGGAGCACAACUGACGCUGAAGCUCGAAAGUGCGGGUAUCGAACAGG
rnacentral:rRNA from 1 species